rnacentral:rRNA from 1 species
AGAAUCAACGCUGGCGGCGUGCCUAACACAUGCAAGUCGAACGAGAAAGGGGAGCAAUCCCUGAGUAAAGUGGCGACCGGGUGAGUAACACGUGACUAACCUACCCUCGAGUGUGGAAUAACAUCGGGAAACCGAUGCUAAUACCGCAUAAUAUCGCAAGAUCAAAGGAGCAAUCCGCUUGAGGAGGGGGUCGCGGCUGAUUAGCUAGUUGGCGGGUAACGGCCCACCAAGGCGAAGAUCGGUA